GUUAGGAAUAUUGGACAAUGGGCGAAAGCCUGAUCCAACCAUGCCGCGUGAACGAUGAAGGCCUUCGGGUUGUAAAGUUCUUUAGUCGAUGAUUAUAAUGACUGUAGUCGGAAAAUAAGCCCCGGCUAACUUCGUGCCAGCAGCCGCGGUAAUACGAAGGGGGCGAGCGUUAUUCGGAAUCACUGGGCGUAAAGCGUGCGUAGGCGGUUUUGUAAGUUAGGAGUGAAAGCCCAGGGCUCAACCUUGGAAUUGCUCUUAAAACUGCAAGGCUCGAAUCUCGGAGAGGAUAGCGGAAUUUCCAGUGUAGCAGUGAAAUGCGUAGAUAUUGGAAGGAACACCAGUGGCGUAAGCGGCUAUCUGGACGAGUAUUGACGCUGAGGCACGAAAGCGUGGGGAUCAAACAGGAUUAGAAACCCGAGUAGUCC
rnacentral:rRNA from 1 species